AUCACUCAACAAACAAACAAACAUAAAAACUUGGGAAAUAUAAAAAUUGAAAAAUAUAUGGAGUUGGAAAGAAAGUUGAUUUUUAAAUGGUAUAGAACUCCCAAACAACUUGCAUAUAUGGUUAUGGGUUUAUCCUCAAAAUGUUGGCACUGUGGGGACCAAGAUGCACAUUAUAGCCAUAUGUGGAUU